rnacentral:misc_RNA from 1 species
GAUGAAGAACGCAGCGAAAUGCGAUAAGUAAUGCGAAUUGCAGAAUUCAGUGAAUCAUCGAAUCUUUGAACGCACAUUGCGCCCGCCAGUAUUCUGGCGGGCAUGCCUGUCUGAGCGUCGUUUCGACCCUCGCGCCCGGCUUCUGUCGGGGGCGGUGUUGGGGAUCGGCCACACCCUUCAGUGGGAGGCCGGCCCCUAAAUUCAGUGGCGACCAUGCUGUAGCCUCCCCUGCGUAGUAUUAAAACCACCUCGCAGGCGGAGAGCGGUGCGGCCCGCCGUAAAACCCCCCCACUUUUACAAGGUCGACCUCAGAUCAGGUAGGAAUACCCGCUGAACUUAAGCAUAUCAAUAAGCGGAGGA